rnacentral:lncRNA from 1 species
ACAAUUCAAAUAGAAAAUAAAAAGAAAAAAUGAAGAAAAAAAACUCCCUCCCAUUUCAUGACAGCCACACGACACAUUGGAUCCUCUAUCUUAGUGUGAAAGUGGAAGUAAAAAAGCUAAACAAAAAAGCCUUCCACUCACGAGGCUACACGUGGACCAUCACUUUUUUCAUGAAGUAAUUCAACAUGUUAAGAUCGCCACCUUUAAAUAAAAAGGGCUCACACGUUUA